AAGGGUGUAGCUCAGUUGAUAGAGUGUUUGCCUAGCAUGCAAAAGCCCUGGGUUCGAUCCCCAGCACCCACA